rnacentral:rRNA from 1 species
GCCCAACAACCAUUUUUCAGAGGAAAAGAGCACAAGAGGUCCGGCUCCAUUACAUAGCAAAGAAACCAAAUUGUCUUACACAGUACCAAAUCAGCACGCGGAGGACAGCCCCACCGCUGCCCCAGCAAAGACUACAAGCCUAAAUGACAGAAUUAAAAACUAAGAUCAACUAAGGACGCACACCCAAAAGGGGACAACGACACUAGUAAAGCAGCAAACUCAUACAGAACCAAAUCAGAUUGAGGCGGAGCUCGCCGGAACUGAGCUGCUCGCCCAACAACGCCGAGAGGGCCGCGUCGCGCAUCGUCAUGGUCAACGUCUGGUCAUGCCCUAUUGUUGUUUGGCGGCCGUGUAGGAGGGAGGACGAGCCGCGGAAGAGAGGAGGGUGGAGCUUCACGCAGCGCUGGCGAGCUGGCGGAGCUUCACGUGGCGGAGACGGAGGAGCUUCUCGCGGCGGCGCCGGAGUUGAACGCGGCGGCGACGGCGGUGCUGCACGCUGACGAUGAUGGACAGGCAGGCGAGGGGCGCGGUGCUGGAAGGACGAACGAGCGGCGUGGAGUGCGGCUUCUCGGGGAUGGGCGGGCGCGGCGCCGGCUGGACGAGCGACGGGCGCGGAGCCGGCUGCUCGGGGACGGGCGGGCGCGGCGCCAGCCGGACGAGCGACGGGCGCGGAGCCGGCUGCUGGGGACGGGCGGGCGCGGCGCCGGCCAGAUGAGCGACGGGCGCGGAGCCAGCUGCUCGGGGACGGGCGGGCGCGGCGCCGGUCGGAGGAGCGACGGGCGCGGAGCCGGCUGCUCGGGGACGGGUUGACGGGCAGGUGCUGGCCGGCGGCGUGCGGGUGCUCGAGGAUGGGUUGACGGGCAGGUGCUGGCCGGCGGCGUGCGGGCGUGCGGCUGCUCGGGGACGCCGGACAGGCGGGCGGGUGCUGGGAGAGAGGAGGAAGCUGGCCGGCGGCGUGGCUCUGGUCGGGGGAGACGGAGAGAGGAGCAGGAGAGAGGAGGGCGCUGAGGGGAUUAGGAGAGAGAGAGGAG